CACAAAGAAACCAUCCAAGGUCGUGCUCCCAACAACAGCUCAAGGUCAAGCUCCCAGCUGGGACGGGGAAGAUCUACCUUGAAUCUGUACAGGCCGAAGGCACAGCUAGACACAGCCAAAGGACAUCUGCACUACCACACGAAGCAACUCCAGCCCGAGUGCCAACGCUGCCGCUGCCACACUCUUCCUGCCAUGACAGACUACCCCAUUACACUGUGAACCAACGUAGUUCUUCCUUCUUUAAACUGCUUCUCAUCAGUUAUUAAAAGUUAUAUUCUGUUUGUGCUUA